UACGGAGGGUGCGAGCGUUGUCCGGAAUCACUGGGCGUAAAGGGCGCGUAGGCGGUCUGUUAAGCGUGUGGUGAAAGCUCGGGGCUCAACCCCGAGUCUGCCAUGCGAACUGGUGGACUUGAGCACUGUAGAGGCAGGUGGAAUUCCGGGUGUAGUGGUGGAAUGCGUAGAGAUCCGGAGGAACACCAGCGGCGAAGGCGGCUUCCUGGCCUGUUCUUGACGCUGAGGCGCGAAAGCUAGGGGAGCGAAUGGG
rnacentral:rRNA from 1 species